AAUAAAAUACAGGUAAGAUAAAUGGGUUACAAACCUCACCACACAUCCAAAUCCAUCUUUAUGAUCUUACAAACCGCUAUAAACUUCCAAAAGUUUGAUAUCCGUAGUUACCUAGCUAGGUUCUUAAAAUUGGAUUGUAGUAAAGUUAUUCAUUUAUUUUAUAUAUUCAAAAUCAGAAGACGCCACCAUUUUAUUUCUACAAAACCGCGUUUUUGUAGAAAAGAAAGAAGGCGACGAAGUUGACACUUCAAAUGAAUCAAUUCAGUAUACAAAUGUGAUUUUGUGUGCUUCGAUCUAUAAAUACAGUUGUGGUCGAUGACACUUGAGAGAAUAACAAAGUGACAAUGAAGAAAACAACACAAGUGUUUCUUCUUCUUUUCCGUUUGAUGCUUCUUAUAUGCCUAGUCUUUCAGGUUCGUGUCACAGAGGCUAGAUUCCGCCACCUAGGGGAGGAACGGAUUGGCGCAAUACCCUCCAUUCCAUGUGGAGCUGCUCCUAGAAGAAGUGAAGUUACAGGAAUAAUGAACAGGCUCUGUAGGAGGACUAGGAUUUCAAGACCUCCGGGUGUUAAUAAGUGAUCUCCGUCCAAGAGAUAGCAACGUUUGAAUAUGAACCACGAAUAAAAUCUCUACUGUUCAGAAGUUUAUUAAUCAUAUAUAAUUCCAAAUAAUUGUUUCACGUUUUGCUAAAGACUAUCGCUUAGCUGAGAUACAUUUUCUAAUUUCUUCUUAAAAUCAUGUUUUAUGUGUACAUGGUAAAGUUAAAGUUUACAGUAAUGAUUUCGCAAGCA